rnacentral:tRNA from 2 species
GGGGAUUUAGCUCAGUUGGUAGAGCAUCUGAUUUGCAUUCAGAGGGUCAGGAGUUCGAGUCUCCUAAUCUCCA